GGCCCGGUAGCUCAGUUGGUAGAGCACUCGCCUGAAGAGCGAGGUGUCGCCAGUUCGAUCCUGGCCUGGGCCA
rnacentral:tRNA from 1 species